rnacentral:rRNA from 1 species
CGCUAUCACUCCUACGGGAGGCAGCAGUAGGGAAUCUUACCACAAUGGGCGCAAGCCUGAUGGAGCAACACCGCGUGAGUGAAGAAGGGUUUCGGCUCGUAAAGCUCUGUUAGUUAAAGAAGAACACGUAUGAGAGUAACUGUUCAUACGUUGACGGUAUUUAACCAGAAAGUCACGGCUAACUACGUGCCAGCAGCCGCGGUAAUACGUAGGUGGCAAGCGUUAUCCGGAUUUAUUGGGCGUAAAGAGAGUGCAGGCGGUUUUCUAAGUCUGAUGUGAAAGCCUUCGGCUUAACCGGAGAAGUGCAUCGGAAACUGGAUAACUCGAGUGCAGAAGAGGGUAGUGGAACUCCAUGUGUAGCGGUGGAAUGCGUAGAUAUAUGGAAGAACACCAGUGGCGAAGGCGGCUACCUGGUCUGCAACUGACGCUGAGACUCGAAAGCAUGGGUAGCGAACAGGAUUAGAUACCCUGGUAG